UAGUGAGCCCUGUCUUGUCAGUACUGCAAGGCUUCAAUCAAAUAGCACUUGAACUCUUUUCAAAGACUUGCAAGAUUGAAAAGAUUCCAGCCUGUUGAACGGAGAGUAAUAGGCAACAGAAGAUGACUUUGGACAAUUUAAGAAAGGAAAUUUAUCAGGAACUCAGCACAUCAACUGGAAAGCUGAGACUCAGGCUUGCAUUGCCAUGUCACAUGAAGCUGCUUCUCCCGAUGAAGCACAGAUUGAAAUGUCACACCAGCACGAUCAAUUAGAUGAUGUAGAAGAGAGGCAUUUGCUACCUGACCUUAAUCCACAGGGCAAGAAGGGCUGAGUGGAGAAGACUAAAUACAGAGAGACUCAAAGGAAGAGGAAAUGGGCAGAGCAUAGUUUAAAUAGGCACAAAGCAGCAUAAAUGUUGAUUCAUGACGAAAAGGACAUCCUCAGGUUAAAGACUUCUUAUGAUGUAUACUGGUGCACUCACUCGUUCAACUCGGAGUGAGUGCAAAGUAAAUAUAAACACCUUUCACACAAGGAAUAUGACAGAAAAGGAAGUAGGAUCCAUUUGGUUGCUUCCGAGUUCAAUUGUGAGAUAUCUAUUUAUCACAGCAGUGGAAAACCAGCAGGAGGUUCAGAGGAAAGCCAUGGAAACAGGAGGACCAGGAAAAUGAAAUGCAAACAAGUAUCCUGGGGAGUUUUGCAGCUGAUGAACCAAUGAUGAACCAAUCAUGAUGCAGGAUAGUUCAUAAGUCACCAAACCUCCCUUGGCAGUUUAACAUCUUUUGUUCUAGAAGGUUGUUUCACAGCUGUACCUGAACAUUGGCUCCACUGAAGGAAGAGAAUUGAAAGGGAAUUUGAAUUUCAAAGCGAACAACAGAAGCAACAGUGUUGCCAUAAUCUGCAGGCUCUUACUUGAACACAGAAAAGCAGGAUGCCUUCUCAGAGAUAAACUGCCUUAAGAAAGGAGAUUGUUCCACGGAUGUUAUCAAAGCUUAAUGAACUAAAUAUUGUCCUUCUCUCCAGGUAUGGGUUUUGGCACUAUUUCCAUUUCCAAUGGAGUUGAAGUUAUUCAUAGAACAUUACCUUUUAUAAAAUCCUAACAAGCAAAUCCCCACCAAAUCCCUAAAAUGGAAAAAUUCAAACCCAGUCCAUCUGGCUCUCACGUUGUUUUAGCCCUCCCCCCACCUCCCGAUAAUGGUUCCCCAGGGCAGUAAGGGUGGGCAGGCGGGCAGUGUGAGGACCUGUGCUGCUCACAUGUGGUUUCCGCAGGAAAAGAGGUCGCACUUUGCUUACGAGGAAGCUCUACUUCUGGUCCUGCAGGCAGUUUGCCAUCCCAAACCCAACCAGCCAACCAAACAACGCCCCCACCCCAAGAAUUUGUACCUUAAAGGAAAUAGAACUUGAGGUAAAUGAGAAAAAAAAAAAUAAAACAUCUAUUCAAAGCAUCCGAUGCCUUAGUGAGCAGAAGAAUGACACCUUCCUGGAAUUAAAGUAAUUGAAGCUGUCUUUUAACAUGUGAAUUGUCUAUCUCUGCUUGCUUCCUCUUAGCCUUACCGGGCACUCCAGAAAACUCACAGCGUUCCCUCCCUCCGGCUUUUAAUCGCGCUGUUCCCAGGCCACAGCCCUCUCUGUAGCUGUCCAGGAAUCCUAAUGGUUCAAGGUCUUGCUGGACUUUCUAUUCCUCCUGAGACUUCCCUUCUUCCUGCUGCCUUUUCAUUAUUCUACAAUUUUUUUCAGUUACAUUUUUAACUAUGUAGGAGCAAAGACCAUGUCUUGUAGUUUUAAAAGGCCACCUCUCUUACAGUGCCUGGUUAUAGUUCUGGGCACACAGUAGAUGUAAAUUGAAUACAUUUUAUCUGAUGUUUCGAAGACCUGCCUU